GCUUGCUCCUUUGACGUUAGCGGCGGACGGGUGAGUAACACGUGGAUAACCUACCUAUAAGACUGGGAUAACUUCGGGAAACCGGAGCUAAUACCGGAUAACAUAUUGAACCGCAUGGUUCAAUAGUGAAAGGCGGCUUUGCUGUCACUUAUAGAUGGAUCCGCGCCGUAUUAGCUAGUUGGUAAGGUAACGGCUUACCAAGGCAACGAUACGUAGCCGACCUGAGAGGGUGAUCGGCCACACUGGAACUGAGACACG
rnacentral:rRNA from 2 species